rnacentral:rRNA from 1 species
AACCUUAUCAUUUAGAGGAAGGUGAAGUCGUAACAAGGUUUCCGUAGGUGAACCUGCGGAAGGAUCAUUACCACACAAUAAUCCAAACCGCGCUUACAUUAAACCCAUAGGCUCUGGCCCUGCUAACUAGUGGUAAACCCCUCUGUAACCCAUCGAGUCUCUCUGGUGUUUACGACCUUAUAAGAUCUCAUUAUGUGCCACUGCCGUGAUGAUGCAACCUGGAGGCCAACGAGUACGAUCCACCAAUUUAAAUUCAAUCGACAGCUUGACGAGAGUCAAGUUUAAAAGUAUAACAUUCCAAUACAACUUUCAGCAAUGGAUGUCUUGGUUCCCAACACAAUGAAGAACACAGCGAAAUGUGAUACGUAAUACGAAUUGCAAGACUUUGUGAAUCAUUGAAUUUUUGAACGCAUAUUGCGCUGCCAGAUUCUUUCUGGGAGCAUACACGACAGAGUAUCAUCNAACCCCAAUCUAUAACAUUAUUUGUUAUGGGCAAGUGAAGUUGGCUUUAAACAAAGCACUCCUUCUAAGUUAUUUAGUGCAGAGGCAUUUUCACAUUGUAGGAAACUCAGUGUAUUUGUUUCAACGUGCUAUUGGUCAAAAUUCACUUUUUGACUGUCUUCUUAACUGAUCUCUGACUGUGUAGGACUACCCGCUGAAUUU